CCAGACUCCUACGGGAGGCAGCAGUGAGGAAUAUUGGUCAAUGGGCGGAAGCCUGAACCAGCCAAGUCGCGUGAGGGAAGAAGGCCCUGCGGGUCGCAGACCUCUUUGGACGGGGAGCAAGGCCGCCGACGUGUCGGCGGAAGGAGAGUACCCGUAGAACAAGCAUCGGCUAACUACGUGCCAGCAGCCGCGGUAAUACGUAGGGAGCAAGCGUUAUCCGGAUUUAUUGGGUGUAAAGGGUGCGUAGACGGGAAGGCAAGUUGGUUGUGAAAUCCCUCGGCUUAACUGAGGAACUGCAACCAAAACUAUCUUUCUUGAGUGCUGGAGAGGAAAGUGGAAUUCCUAGUGUAGCGGUGAAAUGCGUAGAUAUUAGGAGGAACACCAGUGGCGAAGGCGACUUUCUGGACAGUAACUGACGUUGAGGCACGAAAGUGUGGGGAGCAAACAGGAUUAGAUACCCGAGUA
rnacentral:rRNA from 1 species